AAAAACCACAUAAAGUAUCUCCACAAGGAUAGCUGUCAAGGCCUACGGAGUUUGUUGACAUUUUUCCUCGACAAAAACGGUCUGGAGUUUGCAGAGCUGUCCUGUUUCAUGCACACGCCCGCGCUCGUGACGCUAAACCUGGCUUACAACCGCCUGUCCCUCCGACGCCAACGCUUCCCGCCGCUGCCGAGUCUGCGGCACGUGUUCCUCCACGACAACAAGAUAACGGAUAUCGACAGCCUCUUCACCAACAUAACAUCCAUCACGACUUU